UACGAAGGGGACUAGCGUUGUUCGGAAUCACUGGGCGUAAAGCGCACGUAGGCGGAUUGUUAAGUCAGGGGUGAAAUCCUGGAGCUCAACUCCAGAACUGCCUUUGAUACUGGCGAUCUUGAGUCCGGGAGAGGUGAGUGGAACUGCGAGUGUAGAGGUGAAAUUCGUAGAUAUUCGCAAGAACACCAGUGGCGAAGGCGGCUCACUGGCCCGGUACUGACGCUGAGGUGCGAAAGCGUGGGGAGCAAACAGGG
rnacentral:rRNA from 1 species